rnacentral:rRNA from 1 species
GUGGAGCCUGCGGUUUAAUUGGACUCAACGCCGGGCAGCUCACCGGAUAGGACAGCGGAAUGAUAGCCGGGCUGAAGACCUUGCUUGACCAGCUGAGAGGAGGUGCAUGGCCGUCGUCAGUUCGUACUGUGAAGCAUCCUGUUUAGUCAGGCAACGAGCGAGACCCACGCCAACAGUUGCUAGCAUGUUCUCCGGAAUGAUGAGGACACUGUUGGGACCGCCUCUGCUAAAAGAGGAGGAAGGAAUGGGCAACGGUAGGUCAGCAUGCCCCGAAUUAUCCGGGCUACACGCGGGCUACAAUGGUCAGGACAAUGGGAAACGGCACUGAAAAGUGCAGUCAAUCUCCUAAACCUGUCCCAAGUUCGGAUUGUGGGCUGCAACUCGCCCACAUGAAGCUGGAAUCCGUAGUAAUCGCGUUUCAAAAUAGCGCGGUGAAUAAGUCCCUGCUCCUUGCACACACCGCCCGUCAAACCAUCUUAGUGAGGUUUGGAUGAGGCUGUGGUUAACUGCCACAGUCGAAUCUAGUUUUCGCAAGGAGGGUUAAGUCGUAACAAGGUAGCCGUAAUCACUAGUGCG